GGGAUUGCCCUAGUAACGGCGAGUGAAGCGGCAACAGCUCAAAUUUGAAAUCUGGCUCUUUUAGGGUCCGAGUUGUAAUUUGCAGAGGGCGCUUUGGCUUUGGCAGCGGUCCAAGUUCCUUGGAACAGGACGUCACAGAGGGUGAGAAUCCCGUACGUGGUCGCUAGCUAUCGCCGUGUAAAGCCCCUUCGACGAGUCGAGUUGUUUGGGAAUGCAGCUCUAAAUGGGAGGUAAAUUUCUUCUAAAGCUAAAUAUUGGCCAGAGACCGAUAGCGCACAAGUAGAGUGAUCGAAAGAUGAAAAGCACUUUGGAAAGAGAGUCAAACAGCACGUGAAAUUGUUGAAAGGGAAGCGCUUGCAGCCAGACUUGCUUGCAGUUGCUCAUCCGGGCUUUUGCCCGGUGCACUCUUCUGUAGGCAGGCCAGCAUCAGUUUGGGCGGUGGGAUAAAGGUCUCUGUCACGUACCUCUCUUCGGGGAGGCCUUAUAGGGGAGACGACAUACCACCAGCCUAGACUGAGGUCCGCGCAUCUGCUAGGAUGCUGGCGUAAUGGCUGUAAGCGGCCCGUCUUGAAACACGGACCAAGGAGUCUAACAUCUAUGC
rnacentral:rRNA from 1 species